rnacentral:rRNA from 1 species
CCUACGGGAGGCAGCAGUCGAGAAUCUUCCGCAAUGGACGAAAGUCUGACGGAGCGACGCCGCGUGCGGGAUGAAGGCCCUUGGGUUGUAAACCGCUGUCAGAGGGGAUGAAAUCUUCGGAGGUACUCCUCCGAAGUUGACAGAGCCUCAAAGGAAGCACGGGCUAAGUACGUGCCAGCAGCCGCGGUAACACGUACUGUGCGAACGUUAUUCGGAAUCACUGGGCUUAAAGGGUGCGUAGGCGGCGAUUCAAGUCAGAUGUGAAAUGCCUGAGCUCAACUGAGGCAUUGCGUUUGAAACUGAAUUGCUAGAGUAUCCUAGGGGUGUGCGGAACUGCCAGUGGAACGGUGAAAUGUGUUGAUAUUGGCAGGAACACCGGAGGCGAAAGCGGCACACUGGGGGAUAACGUGACGCUGAGGCACGAAAGCCAAGGGAGCGAACGGGAUUAGAUACCCGGUAGUCUUGGCCGUAAACGAUGAGCACUGGGCGGGAGGGGUUUCCCUUUCUGCCGUAGCGAAAGCGUUAAGUGCUCGCCUGGGAGUNGGUCGCAAGGCUGAACUCAAAUGAAUUGAGGCUGGAGAGNGACGACGACGACGACGAGGAGGAGG